rnacentral:misc_RNA from 1 species
UGGUGUGGUGUGUGCGGGCCGCUAAGCACAGGGUUCAUGUGAAUGCUUGAGGGAUGUGAGACAUUAAUAAAAUUUUCACAUGAUGCAAUUAGGUAUUAGCAAAUGUUUUCCAUGUGCAACUACUAAUAAAUAAAUAAAAAGAAAAUAAAAAAUAAUUGAUAAAUUAUCAAUAUUGCAAAUAAGAUAACUGCUAACAUUUAUUCAUUAUAUAAUUUAUAAGCACAACAGAGCAUAAUGGUGUUUAUGUAUAAAAAAAAAAAGAAAAAGUAUUUAACCACACAAACACACAAUGAUGUUAAUAACAAAUUUUAAGCCGUGUCAUAAAGCUAUUAAUUGAUAUAAGAUAACAGCUAAAUUAGUUUAAAAUAUUUCAUGUGUUUAUAAGAGCACAAUGAAAAUAAAACUACCACAAUGCAUAAUUCAACACAAACACAAGCAAUCACAAGCAAACCUCAAACUGUCCUCUUUUGCAAAUCAUAGGUGGUAUAAUGUUUCGUAAUUAAUUCUACGAUUUAUACAUGAAUGAAGGAUCUCUUUCCAAAUUGCAAAAUGCACUAUGAUAAAUAAUAAUUACCAUGCUUCAUUUAAUUUUUCAGUUACCUUUAAUUUUGUGUAAUAUUUGUCAAAAAUUUAAUAUAUGCAUAUAUAUGGCUUAUACCUGUAUCCAUAAAAGUGAAUUCUUUUUCUCACUUGGUGAUAGGAAUAAGAGCAUCGAGAUUAGAUCUUCAGGCAAGAUUGAUUCAGGUACAACAGAGGUAGAUAUAAUUUACAGUAAAUUAAAUUUGAAUGAUAUUUAAGUUUAAGCCAAUAUUUUGGUAGCGGAUUUUCUUGUGAUGGUGAUUGAAUGCCCAAAAUGCCAUUUUUACUGUUAAGCUUUUGGUUUCUCCUGCAGAAAUUGUCUUCUUGCCAGUUAUUAGAUCAUCGUAGAUAGAAAUUUCCCGAUGUAGCUUCUAUGUUUUCCUUUAUUUUGCUAGCUGCAUAUGCAAUUUGUUUCCUUUGGAAUUUUAUAAAGUGUUUGCAUCUUGUGGCAGAUACCAUUUUCUGUAAUUUUGAAACAACCUGGAGAAGAAAGUUUAGAAAGGUUUUAUGAGACCUUCCAUGGAACAGACAUUAGCAUCCAGGUGAAUGUUGACUUAUAAAAGUGAAAAUAUAUAGUUGAUAUUUUCAUUAUCUCCUUGUUUUCUGUUUUCCACCCAUCUAAUUCUUCUCUUUUCUUUCACUUUUUUUUUAAUGGAAAAACUUUGAUGAUUAAUGAAACCUUGUGAUAGUAUUUGGUGACUGUAGAUUUAAUGAGAGGGUACCUCCAUAAAUCAUUAUCUACAACAAUGGAAUUUAUAGUUGAAAGCGAUAAAGCUGAUCUUCUUGAGCAAUCAGUUUCUUCCGAGAUGGCUAUAUUUUACAUUACCCAAGACACUCAGAGACAUCCACUGCUUCCCGAAUUAAAGUCAGGUGGUUUUCGGGUGACUGGAAGGAUAUCCACUCAAUGUUCCUUGUUGGAUCCUAUUAGUGGAGAGCUAACGGUAGAAAGAUCUGCAGUUCCCAUUUGCUCUAUUGACAUUCACUUGCUUCGAGUAGAGUCAGUUCUCCUUGGAGAGAAAAUUGUGACUGAAACCUCGUUGAUUCAGACCACACAGAUAGCUGAUGGAGAUGUCUGUUACAGUAUGACUUUGCCCAUCUAUGUUAUCCUGCCCCGUCUUUUGACUUGUCCAACUGUCUUAGCUGGUCCAUUUUCAAUUGAGUUCAAAGUGUCCAUUGUUAUCAGCUUUCAGUCAGAACUGUCCAAGUUGCAUACAAAAUCUGAUCCAAGAACUCCAAGACUCUGGCUGGCAAUGGAAACUUUACCGCUGGAACUUGUCCGUACAAAGUGAGGAGCUCUAUAUGAAGGCAAUAAUUUUUGGAUAACUUUGUACAUGAUUUUUCUAAAUUCCUCAAGUACAAUGAUAACAAUGCAAGUACAGCAUUAACUGAAUUUUCUGGGUUUUUUUGUGAUCAGCUUAUGCUUCCUCUCAUCUGAAAUAUGUUUACAAGAAAAGAAUUUAACUUUAUUGUGAAUAUAUAACUCUACUUCCAGAUUAGAAUCAUGUUACUUGCAUAUGGAAACUGUAAUCUGGUUAUUAAGAUCCUUGGAUUCUAAUCUUCUGGUUGUCAUGCCUGUUCUAUUCCAUGCUCUGA